UGAAUACGAGAUGCUACGGCGUCGAAGCAGUGUAUGUCAGACUUCAAGAAAAGCUCGCAAUGUCAUAAUUAAAGAAUGCCUGUACCAUAACCGACACAGGUAGGUAGGUAGAGUAUACUAAGGGGCGCGAGAUAACUCUCUCUAAGGAACUCGGCAAAAUAACUCCGUAACUUCGGGAGAAGGAGUGCCUUCUUUAAGAAGGUUGCAAUAACAAGAUCCAAGCAACUGUUUAUCAAAAACACAGGUCUCCGCUAAGUCGUAAGACGAUGUAUGGGGGCUGACGCCUGCCCAGUGCCAGAAGGUUAAAGAAGUUGGUUAGCUUUUGCGAAGCCGAUGACUGAAGCCCUGGUGAACGGCGGCCGUAACAAUAACGGUCCUAAGGUAGCGAAAUUCCUUGUCGGGUAAGUUCCGACCCGCACGAAAGGCGUAAUGAUUUGGAUACUGUCUCGGAGAGGGACUCGGUGAAAUAGACUUGUCUGUGAAGAUGCGGACUACCUGCACCAGGACAGAAAGACCCUAUGAAGCUUUACUGUAACUUGAAAUUGAAAUUGGACUUUAUUUGCGCAGUAUAGGUGGAAGGCGUUGAAAGUAAUCUUGCGGGAUUAGUGGAGCCAUCAGUGAGAUACCACUCCUAUAAUGUUAGAUUUCUAACUUUGGAUCAUGAUCUGGUCAAGGAACAGUUUCAGGCGGGCAGUUUGACUGGGGCGGUCGCCUCCCAAAUGGUAACGGAGGCGUACAAAGGUUUCCUCUGAACGGGUAGAAAUCGUAUCUAGAGUGUAAAGGCAUAAGGAAGCUUGACUGUGAGACCUACAAGUCGAGCAGGGACGAAAGUCGGUCUUAGUGAUCUGACGGUGCUGAGAGGAAAGGCCGUCACUCAACGGAUAAAAGUUACUCUAGGAUAACAGGCUGAUCUCCCCCAAGAGUUCACAUCGACGGGGAGGUUUGGCACCUCGAUGUCGGCUCAUCGCAUCCUGGGGCGGUAGUACGUCCCAAGGGUUGGGCUGUUCGCCCAUGGAAGCGGUACGCGAGCUGGGUUCAGAACGUCGUGAGACAGUUCGGUCCAUAUCCGGUGUAGGCGUUAGAAUACUGAGAGGAGCCUUCUUUAGUACGAGAGGACCGAGAAGGACAUACCUCUGGUGUACCAGUUAUCGUGCCAACGGUAAACGCUGGGUAGCUAUGUAUGGAGAGGAUAACCGCUGAAAGCAUCUAAGUGGGAAGCCCACCUCAAGAUGAGUAUUCUC
rnacentral:rRNA from 1 species